rnacentral:rRNA from 1 species
UGAAAGCAUCUAAGCAUCGAAGCCCCCCUCAAGAUGAGAUUUCCCAACUUCGGUUAUAAGAUCCCUCGAAGAUGACGAGGUUAAUAGGUUCGAGGUGGAAGCGUGGUGACACGUGGAGCUGACGAAUACUAAUCGAUCGAAGACUUAAUCAA